rnacentral:rRNA from 1 species
UUACUCAGUUCAGAUUGCAGGCUGNAACCCGCCUGCAUGAAGUCGGAAUUGCUAGUAAUCGCGGAUCAGAAUGCCGCGGUGAAUACGUUCCCGGGUCUUGUACACACCGCCCGUCACACCAUGGGAGUCGGGAAUGCCCGAAGUCGGUGAGCUAACGAAAGAGGCAGCCGCCGAAGGCAGGCCCGGUAACUGGGGUGAAGUCGUAACAAGGUAGC